UUAUUCGAGAAGCCAUUGGUUGUUCGAAUGCUUGUACCCAGUCCUUCAUCGAGUGAAUCAAAAGUCCUGACGGUCCUGAAACGGCGAGGAUUCCGAUGUGAGGUCCUUAGUUGUCAGGAAAAUGGCAGCACCACAUCCACUGUUUCCAGCGAAUGCACCUGAUAUACUGUCUGCUGAAAUGAGUGGGAUACCUGAAAUUCUCGGUAACGUGCAGGAUACUACGGGAAUCCCCCAUCCAAAUGAUGGAGGUUUCAGCCAGAGAUCAAGAGACAGGGACAUGAGGAGAAAAGUUUUGUUAGAGGCCAUAAAGAUAAGAGAAUGGAUAUUAGUUUAGGAAACCGAAGAAUAAAAGCAAGAUAUAGAAGUAAUUGAUUUUUCUAUGAUGGGUUACUAUGUUGGGUUACUAUAAGGAUUUUCUGGUCAAAACUAAAUU